UACGGAGGGGGCUAGCGUUGUUCGGAUUUACUGGGCGUAAAGGGCGCGUAGGCGGUCAGCACAAGUCAGUUGUGAAAUCUCCGGGCUUAACUCGGAAAGGUCAACUGAUACUGUGCGACUAGAGUGCAGAAGGGGCAACUGGAAUUCUCGGUGUAGCGGUGAAAUGCGUAGAUAUCGAGAGGAACACCUGCGGCGAAGGCGGGUUGCUGGGCUGACACUGACGCUGAUGCGCGAAAGCCAGGGGAGCGAACGGG
rnacentral:rRNA from 1 species